rnacentral:rRNA from 1 species
GACGAACGCUGGCGGCGUGCUUAACACAUGCAAGUCGAACGGAAAGGCCCUGCUUUUGUGGGGUGCUCGAGUGGCGAACGGGUGAGUAACACGUGAGUAACCUGCCCUUGACUUUGGGAUAACUUCAGGAAACUGGGGCUAAUACCGGAUAGGAGCUCCUGCUGCAUGGUGGGGGGUGGAAAGUUUCGGCGGUUGGGGAUGGACUCGCGGCUUAUCAGCUUGUUGGUGGGGUAGUGGCUUACCAAGGCUUUGACGGGUAGCCGGCCUGAGAGGGUGACCGGCGACAUUGGGACUGAGAUACGGCGCAGACUCCUACGGGAGGCAGCAGUGGGGAAUAUUGCACAAUGGGCGGAAGCCUGAUGCAGCAACGCCGCGUGCGGGAUGACGGCCUUCGGGUUGUAAACCGCUUUCGCCUGUGACGAAGCGUGAGUGACGGUAAUGGGUAAAGAAGCACCGGCUAACUACGUG